ACAGGAUUAGAUACCCUGGUAGUCCACGCCGUAAACGAUGUCGACUUGGAGGCUGUUCCCUUGAGGAGUGGCUUCCGGAGCUAACGCGUUAAGUCGACCGCCUGGGGAGUACGGCCGCAAGGUUAAAACUCAAAUGAAUUGACGGGGGCCCGCACAAGCGGUGGAGCAUGUGGUUUAAUUCGAUGCAACGCGAAGAACCUUACCUACUCUUGACAUCCAGAGAACUUUCCAGAGAUGGAUUGGUGCCUUCGGGAACUUUGAGACAGGUGCUGCAUGGCUGUCGUCAGCUCGUGUUGUGAAAUGUUGGGUUAAGUCCCGCAACGAGCGCAACCCUUAUCCUUUGUUGCCAGCGAUUCGGUCGGGAACUCAAAGGAGACUGCCGGUGAUAAACCGGAGGAAGGUGGGGAUGACGUCAAGUCAUCAUGGCCCUUACGAGUAGGGCUACACACGUGCUACAAUGGCGCAUACAAAGAGAAGCGACCUCGCGAGAGCAAGCGGACCUCAUAAAGUGCGUCGUAGUCCGGAUCGGAGUCUGCAACUCGACUCCGUGAAGUCGGAAUCGCUAGUAAUCGUGGAUCAGAAUGCCACGGUGAAUACGUUCCCGGGCCUUGUACACACCGCCCGUCACACCAUGGGAGUGGGUUGCAAAAGAAGUAGGUAGCUUAACCUUCGGGAGGGCGCUUACCACUUUGUGAUUCAUGACUGGGGUGAAGUCGUAACAAGGUAA
rnacentral:rRNA from 1 species